rnacentral:rRNA from 1 species
UACGUAGGUGGCGAGCGUUGUCCGGAUUUACUGGGCGUAAAGAGCGCGCAGGCGGUCGUUCAAGUCGAGUGUGAAAGCCCCCGGCUUAACUGGGGAGGGUCAUUCGAUACUGAUCGACUCGAAGGCAGGAGAGGGUAGUGGAAUUCCCGGUGUAGUGGUGAAAUGCGUAGAUAUCGGGAGGAACACCAGUGGCGAAGGCGACUACCUGGCCUGUUCUUGACGCUGAGGCGCGAAAGCUAGGGGAGCAAACGGG